UAUUGCACAAUGGGCGAAAGCCUGACGCAGCGACGCCGCGUGAGGGAUGAAGGUCUUCGGAUCGUAAACCUCUGUCAGCAGGGAAGAACGGUCACUGUGCUAAUCAGCAGUGAAUUGACGGUAACUGCAAAGGAAGCACCGGCUCACUCCGUGCCAGCAGCCGCGGUCAUCCGGAGGGUGCGAGCGUUAAUCGGAUUUACUGGGCGUAAAGCGCUCGUAGGCGGUAUGUCAAGUCAAGGGUGAAAUCCCCGCGCUCAACGUGGGAACUGCCUUUGAAACUGGCAAACUGGAGUGUGUGAGAUGAUAGUGGAAUUCCAGGUGUAGGAGUGAAAUCCGUAGAUAUCUGGAGGAACAUCAGUGGCGAAGGCGACUAUCUUGCACAUAACUGACGCUGAGGAGCGAAAGCGUGGGUAGCAAACAGG
rnacentral:rRNA from 1 species